rnacentral:rRNA from 1 species
UACGAAGGGGGCUAGCGUUGCUCGGAAUCACUGGGCGUAAAGGGUGCGUAGGCGGGUCUUUAAGUCAGGGGUGAAAUCCUGGAGCUCAACUCCAGAACUGCCUUUGAUACUGAAGAUCUUGAGUUCGGGAGAGGUGAGUGGAACUGCGAGUGUAGAGGUGAAAUUCGUAGAUAUUCGGAAGAACACCAGUGGCGAAGGCGACACACUGGCCCAUUACUGACGCUGAGGCUCGAAAGCGUGGGGAGCAAACAGG